GAAAUAUACGCUGAUCAGGCAUAACCUUGCGAUCACCUGUCUAAUAUGUUGUUGGUUUCUCUUCGGCCCUUUGUUUGUUCUUCACACAGAUGCUUGAUUGGAUUGAGAUCUGUGGACUUUGGAGGCCAAGUCAACACCUCAAACUUGUUGUUGUGCUUUAUGGCAGUGUGUAUUAUCCUGCUGAAUGAGACCACAGCCAUCAGGGAGGACUGUUUCCAUGAAAGGGUGUAAAUGGUCUACAACCUACUAAGCACAUGUACAUAGCAACAUCAGGAGGAAGGAGCACAGGAAGACCUACUGAGGGCUUAGAGAGGAGCUGGAGAAGAUGUGGAAGGUGGAGGCAACAGAUUCAAGGACUGUGUCAAAGAGUACCGAGGAGUGGUGUGAGCAGGAGGACAGGCAGGUAAGUGCCCAGCAAGAAACAAGAUGACCGAGUUGACCAGGGUCAGGAAACCAGGUAAACAACAGGUGAAUAGUGGGUACUGAUCCAAGAAUGUGAAUUACUGGAGACUGAAGGAAGCCUAGUGUUAACUUAAGGUGGAGAGUUGAAUGAAGUAUGAGCUAGUCCUAUGUACUGGUUGGCGAUUGCUGCUGAUGCGAGGCAAAAGCGGGAAACCUGGAACUCUGCUCUGAAGGAAGGAACUUGGACUAAGGGAUCGGGAAAUAGACCACAAAACCAUAACAACCAUGAUGAGUGCUAUCUGAGAUCUCUUUCCAGGAGAGUGCAAUCCUAGGACAGGAACCUCAAGCUCGAAGGAUAAAGAGUGCUCACAGAGCAUCUAUAAAACGCUGGUCUUCCUAUUUGUAUAUGUGUGACAUCAUAUUUUCGCUAUCUGAACACUCCACCGGUGGAGCUUGGUUACAUAAUUACGGAAAAUUACUGUGGAGUUUUAAAGUCGUUACUUUCUUUCCAAAAACACUUCGAAUCAGAUCAAGGCAGAAAAUGAGGUUAACUCCUCUUUGAGCACCAUCCAGUUUAAGCCAGAUCUGUUUUCAUCCAAACUCUCACAGUAUAUAUAUCCUUGGGAGUACAAGUGCUCCUCUUCUUUUGCAUGCAUAUUCAAAUAGAGAGGAAAAGAAAGAGGGUAAACAAUUAAAGAGACACUGUGCAUACUUCUGAAUCUGGAGCACUA